UCCACUGUGCCCCCUAGGCUUGGGUGCCGCCCCCCUAGCCACCCCAGCUCCUAGGAAUGAUUGGAAUUCCAGGAGUAUGAUCCUUAGGUGCCCUGGGCGGCUCAUCCCUGGGAGGUGGGCAGGGUGUGGGGGUGGCCUCUGCACCCUUUGAUCCCUUGUUGAGUCUGCCUUCCCUUGCCUGCUUGGGCCCCUAGACGAGCACUGCCCUCUCUAGCAAACCCAAGGGCAUCCUGCUUGGCACCUGUCCCCCUCCAAGGGUCCAAAGGCAAGGGCCCUACCAGCUGGCACCCCCUGCAGAGGCCCUCCUUCCUGCCGCAGGCAUAAACCUUUCUUUGCCCAGGCUGGCCUGGGACCCAAACAAUGGGGCUUCUGUCCCGCCAGGUCUGCCGUCACCUUUUACCUCCCUAUUGUGCAACGCCCUCUCUUCAACAGGUUGGGCCCAGGCCAGAGGUCUCUACCAGCAAAGAGGAUAAAAGAGACUACACCUGGACAAACCCUCCCAGGCCCAGGCCUGAGCCUCACAUGUGGCCCCGGGGAAGGCAUCAGGGACUCCCUUUGCCCUCCCACUGACCUCCCUGCAAACCUCCCCCAAACCAAGGGGCAUCCUCAGCUGGCCAGACCCUGGGGGAAGGGAGAGAGCCGAGGAUCACCGGCACCUGUGGCUGGGUUACCCCUGCCAUGGACCACUGGGUGAUCAAGAAGUCAUUCCAAAAUGUGAAGCGUUCUGAAGAUAUGCACAUAGCGUAAGAACCUGGUGUAAUGUGCUGGUCAAGGCGGUCUCAGAGAGGAGAUGACGUUUGAGCUGACACCUGAGGGAUGAGAAGAAAGCAGCCAUUCCCAGGGCCCAGGGGAGGCAUCCCAGGAAGCCGGAUCAGCAUGAGCAAAAGCCCUGAGGCCUGGCACAAGUUGGUCUGCUUGAGAAGCAGGAGAGAGCCCUGAGCAUCCGGAGUGCAGCAAGCGAGAUGAGCAAGUCAAGAUGCAGAAGGACUCUCUGGCUUGUCCAAGGUCACACGGCUGUUAGGAGCAGAGCAGCGUCCUGGUGCCCAAGCCCUGAGGUCCCCAGCACACUGCCUCUGCAAUGGCCACAACUGUCCAAAGACUAAGCUGACUCUCACACCUGGUAGUGUCUGUGGUCAUUCACUGUGGAUGGAAGUGGAGAAAUGCAGAAAACAGAAACACAGCUUCCCCUUUUCUGUCAUAUUUCUGUAUCGUUGGUGUUUGGAGCCAGUUGAGCACAAAGGGCCCCUGAGUGCUGUUUCCUUGUGAUAUUUGGGGGUUAACAGCUUCCCCUCAUCUCUUAAUUACCUGCCCUCCUUCACUUCAGCUGCACAUUCGUUAAAGAAUGCUCUCCCAGGAGAAGAGCUUGGUGUUAUCACCCACAAACAUCUUAGAAAACUAAUGCUAUCCUUGAGUGCCUGUUUACAGAAACAUUUUUACAUCUCACUUGACAUUUCCAGCAAAUCUUGAUCCUUCCAGCCAGGAAUAUUAAUAUAUAGGUCUUGAAAAGUGCAAGAGGCUCUUCCAUGGCUCCAAGCACAUUUGACACUCUUCCUUUUCUGAUCCCCAAGCAGACAGUGAUGAAACCCCAAUAGCUGGGCGAAUACUCAUCCAACAGGAAGAAUCAGUUUUAAGAGCUGGGUUCUCAGGGUCAAAUACUGUGGUGUGGCCUUUUGGUUGUAAUGAGUUGAAUGGAGGUCUCAAAAAAGAUAUAUCCAUGUUCUAAUCCCCAGAACUUGUGAAUGUGACCUUAUUUGGAAAAAGAGUCCUUUUGGAUGUAAUUAAGUUAAGGAUUUUGAGAUAAGGAGAUCAUCCUGGGUUAUCUGGGUGGACCCUAAAUCUGUUGACAAUGUCCUUAUGAGAGACCCCAGAGGGCACAGACAGGAAAGGAAGAGGCAAUGUGGCCCCAGAGGCUGAGAUCAGAGCUCUGUGGCCACAAUUCGAGGAACACCUGGAGCCACCAGAAGCUGGAGGAGGCAAGGAACAGAUUCUCCCUGAUCCUCUGGAUACAGAGGGAGAAUAGCCUGGCCGACACCUUGAUUUUGGACUUCUGGCCCCCAGAACUGAGAAAAUUAACUUCUGUUGUGUUAAGCAGCCACGUUUGUAGCAGUUCAUCAUAGCAGCCCUGGGAAAGAAAUACAGUGGGCUUCCAGUUCAAGGAGGAUCCACGAGGCCUGAGCUCCAUCUGUCGAUUGGAAUCACCAAAAUCAAGGUUGUGUGCGGGUAACGCCAGCACAAGCAGCUCAUGCUGGCAAAAGCAGACCAAACCGGCUCACGCAACGUCAAGUCAUCUUGAAGUGGUUCACGCACCACAGUGAGUGGUAUUGAUUGUGGUUAAGAGCCAGGUUCAAGGAGGUUUAUCACUCAGUAGCCAGGUAAAGCAGGUUCCAGGCCUGGCUCCACCACUCAACAACCGGGGAAACAGGGGCGGCAAAACUGAAUCCCAGAGAGAAGACUCACUCAGACACAGCUAUCUGAACACUCUUUUCCAGUUCCCCUAGGGCAGCAGAGGAAGCAAGGUGGGGGGAAGCCAGUGGUCAAGGAUUCCAUGCGGAAUGUACCCUAGAAUUAACCCAUGGAGAGAGGGUAAGGGAACGGGCUCAGGCCUGGGAAGAAGUGGGGAGGACAGUGUCCUGUUGACCUAUUCAAAAACAUCCAGUUUUAGUUAAUUUUUAGUUCAUUAGUCACCACUUUUUAUUAGUAUCUCAUGUAUUCUUUCACAGUUUCUUUCUGCAGGUACAAAAAUAAUGAUUUUUUUUCUUUCUUUUUCUUCUUUGAGACAGGGUCUCGCUCUGUUGCCCAGGCUGUAGUACAAUGGUGCAAUCUCGGCUCACUGCAACCUCUGCCUCUGGGUUCAAGCGAUCCUUUGCCUCCGCCUCCUGAGUAGCUGGAAUUACAGGCAUGCACCAUGAUGCUUGGUUAAUUUUUGUAUUUUUAGUAGAGUCAGGGUUUUGCUAUGUUGGCCAGGCUGGGCUCCAACUUCUGGUCUCAAGUGAUCCACCCGCCUCGGGCUCCCAAAGUGCCAGGAUUACAGGCGUGAGCCACUAUGCCUGGCCAAAAGUGGCGAUGUGUUCUUAAUGCCCAUUUUCACAUAAAAGGCUUCCAGGAGGGGCCUCCCUGGGCUCCCGGAGGACACCCACAGUCCUCACCAUGCAGCUCCCUCCAACAUCAAGCCAGGAAUGGCCGAACAGAUCUUUCUCAUGCUUCAAAUCUCUGAUGAAUUUCUCUUGCCAGAGAAAGCUUGCCAUUUUCCAAGGGCUCACCCAGUCAGAUCCGUCCAACAAGGGUGAUCUCCCUAACAUUAGGUUAACUGACUUGGAACCUCAGUUAAUCUGCAAAAUCCCUUUUGUCAUAUAAUGGAAUACAAUCAUUUGGUUCACAUGCUCAUCUUAUUCACAGGCCCUACACUCAUACAAGGGCAGGGGACCACAGAAGAGUGAAGGCCAGUGAGGGUCACCUCAGAAUUCUGCCCAACACCGGUGUUUUGUAAUUUGGGUAGAUGUUGCCAUGUUGUCCUCCGUGGGGAUUAUGCAGAGGGAACUCUCCUCCUCCAGCAACAGUACAUGUACCUGCUUUUCCAUGGUGCUGCUUAGAGAAUGUUAUCAAACCUUUGGAUUUCUGCCAGUCUGAUAGGAGAAAAAUGGAAUCUCAAUUGUAUUUUAAAAUUGUAAUUAUCGCCUUAUGAAUAAGGCUGAGCAUUUCCUCAAAAGCAUAAGAGCCAUUUAUAUACUUUUUUCUUUAUGGCUUCUGGUUUUGAGGCAUAGAAAGGUCUUUCUAGCUCUAAAGUUAAUCAGAAAUUCUCUGUUUUCUUUUUGCUUUUUUUAAAAUUUUACUUUAAGUCCUUGGAUACAUGUGCUGAACGUGCAGGUUUGUUACAUAGGUAUACAUGGGCCAUGGUGGUUUGCUGCACCUAUCAACCCGUCAUCUAGGUUUUAAGCUCCACAUGCAUUAGGUAUUUGUCCUAAUGCUCUUCCUCCUCUUUCCCCAUGCCCCCAACAGGCCCCGGUGUGUGAUGUUCCCCUCCCUGUGUCCAUGUGUUCUCAUUGUUUAGCUCCCACUUAUGAGUGAGAACAUGCAGUGUUUGGUUUUCUGUUCCUGUGUUAGUUUGCUGAGGAUGAUGGUUUUCAGCUUCAUCCAGGUCCCUGCAAAGGACAUGAACUCAUUCUUUUUUAUGGCUGCAUAGUAUUCCAAGUUGCAUAUGUGCCACAUUUUCUUUAUCCAGUGUAUCAUUGAUGGGCUUUUGGGUUGCUUCCAAGUCUUUGCUAUCGUAAGUAGUGCUGCAAUAAACAAAUGUAUGCAUGUGUCUUUAUAGUAGAAUGAUUUAUAAUCCUUUGGGUAUAUACCCAGUAAUGGGAUUGCUGGGUCAAAUGGUAUUUCUAGUUCUAGAUCCUCGAGGAGUCGCCACACUGUCUUCCACAAUGGUUGAGCUAAUUUACACUCCCACCAACAGUGUAAACGUGUUCCUAUUUCUCCACAUCCUCACCAGCAUUUGUUAUUUCCAGACUUUUUAAUGAUUGCCAUUCUAACUGGCAUGAGAUGGUAUCUCCUUGUGGUUUUGAUUUGCAUUUCUCAGCUCAUUGCAACCUCUGCCUCCCAGGUUCAAGCAAUUCUCCUGCCUCAGCCUCCAGAGUAGCUGGGAUUACAGGGGCACGCCACCAAGCCCAGCUAAUUUUUGUAUUUUUAGCAGAAACAGGGCUUCACCAUGUUGGCCAGUCUGGUCUCAAACUCCUGAUCUCAAGUGAUCCAUCCACCUCAGCCUCCCAAAGUGCUGGGAUUAUAGGCGUGAGCCACCACGGCUGGCCAUUCUCCUGUGUUUUCUUCUGGGGCUUUUAUACUUUCAUUUUUUAAAAUCCAUAGUUUCUUGGAGCUGGAGGUGUCCCUUGUCAUUUUCUCAUCAGUGAGUGCAAAGCAGGAUCCCAAAAGGAUUGGAGUCCAGAGUAGAGAAAGGAGCUGCCGCGGUGGAGUCUGUUCAGUGCAGGCUCUGAUCUCCUUCAGCCCUGCCAGGAAUCCCAGCCAGCAGAUCUUCUUCCAGCUUCCCUUUCUCCAGCACUCUUGAUCUUCUGGGCUGGCACAGGGUCCAGGGUUGAUGGGGAUCCUAGCUGCCUGAGGAGCUUCCAGUCUGGAGGGUGAUACAAGCACAUGGCCAGACCUGAAUUCAAGCCAUGAGAGAGAUUCAGAACCUGGGCUGGGAGCGCAGGGGAGGGAGCGGGGUGCUGAUGGGGGUGGAUGGGAGGCUCCAGAGAGGAGGUGGCGUCUGAACUGAACCUUAAGAAUGAGGGGAAAUGUAAUGGCAGCGAUGAGAAAGGGGAGGCACUUCAGUGCAGAGAACAGCAAGAGCAAAGACAAGGAGGUGGAAAAUCAGCCAGAAACCUAGCCUGGAGAGGGUUUAGUGGACCAUGGGUCCUUGAUGGUAGAGACACAACAUGACUUAUCUCUGUGUCCCAUCCUCUGUGCCAGAGGCGGCAUCGACCAGACUUGGACAAAUGAAGCAGAAGGGACAGGGGACUUAGAAUACUAGGCUGCAUCAUUUUCUUUUUACUCUGACAGUGAGAAGCAAAGACCUCCACAAAGAAAGAAGCCCUUGGCUGUGUCAUCAUUUUAGAAUCUGGGCACUCUCUGCACACCACUGCCCCCUCAUGGCUGAUCUAGGAAUUCUCUCUAAAUCCCAGACUGAAGGUGAGGAGGAGGCUCAGUGAGUCUUAGAGAUUUGAAAAGCCGUGAAAUCCUGGUUGGAGAACAUCUGAGUCCAAAGGGCCCUCAGAGACUCUCUGACUUCCUCAUUA
rnacentral:lncRNA from 1 species